UCCUACGGGAGGCAGCAGUGGGGAAUAUUGCACAAUGGGCGCAAGCCUGAUGUCAGCCAUGCCGCGUGUAUGAAGAAGGCCUUCGGGUUGUAAAGGUACUUUCAGCAGUGAGGAAGGCAGGUACGUUAAUAGCACUAUCAUUUGACGUUAGCUGCAGAAGAAGCACCGGCUAACUCCGUGCCAGCAGCCGCGGUAAUACGGAGGGUGCGAGCGUUAAUCGGAAUUACUGGGCGUAAAGCGCAUGCAGGUGGUUUGUUAAGUCAGAUGUGAAAGCCCGGGGCUCAACCUCGGAAUAGCAUUUGAAACUGGCAGACUAGAGUACUGUAGAGGGGGUAGAAUUUCAGGUGUAGCGGUGAAAUGCGUAGAGAUCUGAAGGAAUACCGGUGGCGAAGGCGGCCCCCUGGACAGAUACUGACACUCAGAUGCGAAAGCGUGGGGAGCAAACAGGAUUAGAUACCCUGGUAG
rnacentral:rRNA from 1 species